rnacentral:rRNA from 1 species
UGAGCAAUCUGCCCUUCUCAUCGGAAUAAGCGUUGGAAACGACGUCUAAUGCCGAAUACGACCUCCUUUCGCAUGAUCGGAGGUGGAAAGCUCCGGCGGAGAAGGAUGAGCUCGCGGCCUAUCAGCUAGUUGGUGUGGGUAAUGACCCACCAAGGCGACGACGGGUAGCCGGCCUGAGAGGGUGACCGGCCACACUGGGACUGAGACACGGCCCAAACUCCUACGGGAGNAGCG